GCCUACGGGACGCAGCAGUGGGGAAUAUUGCACAAUGGGGGAAACCCUGAUGCAGCGACGCCGCGUGAAGGAGGAAGUAUUUCGGUAUGUAAACUUCUAUCAGCAGGGAAGAAAAUGACGGUACCUGACUAAGAAGCCCCGGCUAACUACGUGCCAGCAGCCGCGGUAAUACGUAGGGGGCAAGCGUUAUCCGGAUUUACUGGGUGUAAAGGGAGCGUAGGCGGUUUAGCAAGUCAGAAGUGAAAGCCCGGGGCUCAACCGCGGGACUGCUUUGGAAACUGUUAAGCUGGAGUGCAGGAGAGGUA
rnacentral:rRNA from 1 species